UACGGAGGGAGCUAGCGUUUGUUCGGAAUUACUGGGCGUAAAGCGCGCGUAGGCGGUUUUUUAAGUCAGAGGUGAAAGCCCAGUGCUCAACACUGGAACUGCCUUUGAAACUGGAAAACUUGAAUCUUGGAGAGGUCAGUGGAAUUCCGAGUGUAGAGGUGAAAUUCGUAGAUAUUCGGAAGAACACCAGUGGCGAAGGCAGCUUACUACACAACGAUUGACGCUGAGGCACGAAAGCGUGGGGAUCAAGCAGG
rnacentral:rRNA from 1 species